rnacentral:tRNA from 1 species
UGAGGCCUUAGCUUAAUUAAAGCGGUUGAGUUGCAGUCAGUGGAUGUAAAUUAGAGUUUUACAGGUCUU